rnacentral:lncRNA from 1 species
GUGAAUGCAGUGAGUGUGGAGUGUGUGUGUGUGUGUAUAGUGAAUGCAGUGAGUGUGGAGUGUGUGUGUGUAUAGUGAAUGCAGUGAGUGUGGAGUGUGUGUGUGUGUAGAGUGAAUGCAGUGAGUGUGGUGUGUGUGGAGUGUGUGUGUGUAGAGUGAAUGCAGUGAGUGUGGAGUGUGUGUGUGUAGAGUGAAUGCAGUGAGUGUGGAGUGUGUGUGUGUAGAGUGAGAUGCAGUGGUGUGGGUGUGUGUGUGGAGUGAAUGCAGUGAGUGUGGGUGUGUGUGUGUAGGUGAAUGCAGUGAGUGUGGGUGUGUGUGUAGAGUGAAUGCUGUGAGUGUGUGUGUGUGUAGAGUGAAUGCUGUGAGUGUGUGUGUGUGUAGAGUGAAUGCUGUGAGUGUGGAGUGUGUGUGUGUGUAGAGUGAAUGCUGUGAGUGUGGAGUGUGUGUGUGUGUAGAGUGAAUGCUGUGAGUGUGGAGUGUGUGUGUGUGUGAGUGGAUGUGAGUGUGUGGGUGUGUGUGUGGGAGUGAAUGCAGUGAGGUGUGGGUGUGUGUGUGUGGUGUGGGGGUGAAUGCAGGGGAGUGUGGAGUGUGUGUGUGCAGAGUGAAUGCAGGGGAGUGUGGAGUGUGUGUGUGUGUAGGUGGAAUGCAGUGAGUGUGGGUGUGUGUGUGUAGAGUGGAAUGCAGUGAGGUGUGGGUGUGUGUGUGUGUGUAGAGUGAAUGCAGUGAGUGUGGGUGUGUGUGUGUGUGAAUGCAGUGAGUGUGGAGGUGUGUGUGUGUGUAGAGUGGUACAGUGAGUGUGGGUGUGUGUGUGUGGUGAAUGCAGUGAGUGUGGGUGUGUGUGUGUGUAGGUGAUACAGUGAGUGUGGGUGUGUGUGUGUGUGUAGAGUGAAUGCAGUGAGUGUGGGGUGUGUGUGUGUGUAGAGUGAAUGCAGUGAGUGUGGAGUGUGUGUGUGUGUAGAGUGAAUGCAGUGAGUGUGGAGUGUGUGUGUGUGUAGAGUGAAUGCAGUGAGUGUGGAGUGUGUGUGUGUAGAGUGAAUGCAGGGAGUGUGUGU